CAGGCAGCACACCUGUCCAGUGCUUAGGUGACCCUGGUGCGGCGAUGUUAUGUGAUUUGAAGACCACGCGGUAAAUUCGCGGGAAGCUAGCUGCCAGUUGGCUAUAUAAGUAAAGCAGGCAGCGCGCCUGGCCAGUGCUUAGGUGACUCUCGCGCCGUGAUGUUAUGUGAUUUGAAGGUCACGCGGUAAAUUCACAGGAAGCUAGCUGCCAGUUGGCUAUAUAAGUAAAGCAGGCAACGCGCCUGGCCAGUGCUUAGAUGACUCUCGCGCCGUGAUGUUAUGUGAUUUGAAGUCCACGCGGUAAAUUCACAGGAAGCUAGCUGCCAGUUGGCUAUAUAAGUAAAGCAGGCAGCGCGUCUGGUCAGUGCUUAGGUGACUCUCGCGCCGUGAUGUUAUGUGAUUUGAAGUCCACGCGGUAAAUUCACAGGAAGCUAGCUGCCAGUUGGCUAUAUAAGUAAAGCAGGCUGCACGCCUGGCCAGUGCUUAGGUGACUCUCGCGCCGUGAUGUUAUGUGAUUUGAAGGUCACGCGGUAAAUUCACAGGAAGCUAGCUGCCAGUUGGCUAUAUAAGUAAAGCAGGCAACGCGCCUGGCCAGUGCUUAGGUGACUCUCGCGCCGUGAUGUUAUGUGAUUUGAAGUCCACGCGGUAAAUUCACAGGAAGCUAGCUGCCAGUUGGCUAUAUAAGUAAAGCAGGCAGCGCGCCUGGCCAGUGCUUAGGUGACUCUCGCGCCGUGAUGUUAUGUGAUUUGAAGUCCACGCGGUAAAUUCACAGGAAGCUAGCUGCCAGUUGGCUAUAUAAGUAAAGCAGGCAACGCGCCUGGCCAGUGCUUAGGUGACUCUCGCGCCGUGAUGUUAUGUGAUUUGAAGUCCACGCGGUAAAUUCACAGGAAGCUAGCUGCCAGUUGGCUAUAUAAGUAAAGCAGGCAGCGCGCCUGGCCAGUGCUUAGGUGACUCUCGCGCCGUGAUGUUAUGUGAUUUGAAGUCCACGCGGUAAAUUCACAGGAAGCUAGCUGCCAGUUGGCUAUAUAAGUAAAGCAGGCAGCGCGCCUGGCCAGUGCUUAGGUGACUCUCGCGCCGUGAUGUUAUGUGAUUUGAAGUCCACGCGGUAAAUUCACAGGAAGCUAGCUGCCAGUUGGCUAUAUAAGUAAAGCAGGCAGCGCGCCUGGCCAGUGCUUAGGUGACUCUCGCGCCGUGAUGUUAUGUGAUUUGAAGGUCACGCGGUAAAUUCACAGGAAGCUAGCUGCCAGUUGGCUAUAUAAGUAAAGCAGGCAACGCGCCUGGCCAGUGCUUAGGUGACUCUCGCGCCGUGAUGUUAUGUGAUUUGAAGGUCACGCGGUAAAUUCACAGGAAGCUAGCUGCCAGUUGGCUAUAUAAGUAAAGCAGGCAACGUGCCUGGCCAGUCCUUAGCUGACUCUCGCGCCGAGAUGUUAUGUGAUUUGAAGUUCACGAGGUAAAUUCACAGGAAGCUAGCUUCCAGUUGGCUAUAUAAGUAAAGCAGGCAACGCGCCUGGCCAGUGCUUAGGGGACUCUCGCGCCGUGAUGUUAUGUGAUUUGAAGUCCAGGCGGUAAAUUCACAGGAAUCUAGCUGCCAGUUGGCUAUAUAAGUAAAGCAGGCAGGGCGCCUGGCCACUGCUUAGGUGAAGUCCACGCGGUAA